rnacentral:rRNA from 1 species
GGNUNAUACCAUGCAGUCGANGGUGAAGCCAAGCUUGCUUGGUGGAUCAGUGGCGAACGGGUGAGUAACACGUGAGCAACCUGCCCUGGACUCUGGGAUAAGCGCUGGAAACGGCGUCUAAUACUGGAUAUGAGACGUGAUCGCAUGGUCGUGUUUGGAAAGAUUUUUCGGUCUGGGAUGGGCUCGCGGCCUAUCAGCUUGUUGGUGAGGUAAUGGCUCCACCAAGGCGUCGACGGGUAGCCGGCCUGAGGAGGGGUGACCGGCCACACUGGGNACUGAGACACGGCCCAGACUCCUACGGGAGGCAGCAGUGGGGAAUAUUGCACAAUGGGCGGAAGCCUGAUGCAGCAACGCCGCGUGAGGGAUGACGGCCUUCGGGUUGUAAACCUCUUUUAGCAGGGAAGAAGCGAAAGUGACGGUACCUGCAGAAAAAGCGCCGGCUAACUACGUGCCAGCAGCCGCGGUAAUACGUAGGGCGCAAGCGUUAUCCGGGAAUUAUUGGGCGUAAAGAGCUCGUAGGCGGUUUGUCGCGUCUGCUGUGAAAUCCCGAGGCUCAACCUCGGGCCUGCAGUGGGUACGGGCAGACUAGAGUGCGGUAGGGGAGAUUGGAAUUCCUGGUGUAGCGGUGGAAUGCGCAGAUAUCAGGAGGAACACCGAUGGCGAAGGCAGAUCUCUGGGCCGUAACUGACGCUGAGGAGCGAAAGGGUGGGGAGCAAACAGGCUUAGAUACCCUGGUAGUCCACCCCGUAAACGUUGGGAACUAGUUGUGGGGACCAUUCCACGGUUUCCGUGACGCAGCUAACGCAUUAAGUUCCCCGCCUGGGGAGUACGGCCGCAAGGCUAAAACUCAAAGGAAUUGACGGGGACCCGCACAAGCGGCGGAGCAUGCGGAUUAAUUCGAUGCAACGCGAAGAACCUUACCAAAGGCUUGACAUAUACGAGAACGGGCCAGAAAUGGUCAACUCUUUGGACACUCGUAAACAGGUGGUGCAUGGUUGUCGUCAGCUCGUGUCGUGAGAUGUUGGGUUAAGUCCCCGCAACGAGCGCAACCCUCGUUCUAUGUUGCCAGCACGUAAUGGUGGGAACUCAUGGGAUACUGCCGGGGUCAACUCGGAGGAAGNNGUGGGGAUGACGUCAAAUCAUCAUGCCCCUUAUNGUNCUUGGGCUUCACGCAUGCUNACANNGNNNNGNANNNNNNNUGGCCAGUACCNNAAAGGGCUNNNNGCGAAUACCGUGAGGUGGAGCGAAUCCCAAAAAGCCGGUCCCAGUUCGGAUUGAGGUCUGCAACUCGACCUCAUGAAGUCGGAGUCGCUAGUAAUCGCAGAUCAGCAACGCUGCGGUGAAUACGUUCCCGGGUCUUGUACACACCGCCCGUCAAGUCAUGAAAGUCGGUAACACCUGAAGCCGGUGGCCCAACCCUUGUGGAGGAGCCGUCGAANNNGAUC